GUCUUGCGAGUCUUGCAAUUUUUUUCCGCUUUCCCCCCCUUUUUCUAAGCCGCUAAUAGCCUUUUAGCCGCUAAGCCUUUAAUAGCCGCUAAACCGCUAAUAGCGCUAAUCCGCUAAGCCGCUAAUAGGGUUGCUUCGCAAGACGAAAAAACCGCUAGACGAAGAGACUCGCGGAACGGAUUAAUUUCGUCUUGCGAGGCACCACUGUACUGAACUCAAGCAUAGAGCUGCUAAAAACAUAGCAGCAGGGAAGUGCUGUUGAGAUAUUAAGCUUGACUAGGAAAUAUCCAGCUGUGUAAGAGGCACGGUUCUUCCUGCACUGAUGCUGUCCCCAACACCCCCUUUUGUUUCAGCCCCACGUUCUCUGUUCUUAGAAUCAUAGAAUUGUAGAGUUGGAAGGGACCCCAAGAGUCAUCUAGUCCAAACCCCUGCAAUUAAGGAAAUUCAGCUAAAGCAUCCAUGAUAGAUGGCUAUCCAACCUCUGCUGAAAAAUCUCCAAGGAAGGAGAGUCCACAACCUCCCAAGGGAGACUGUUCCACUGUUGAACAGCUCUUACUGUCAGAAAGUUCUUCCUCAUGUUUAGUCAGAAUAUCCUUUCUUGGAGCUUGAAGCCAUUGGUUCAAGUCCUAACUUUCAGAGCAGGAGAAGACAAGCUUGCUCCAUCUUUCAUGUGACAGCCCUUGAGAUAUUUGAAGAUGGCUAUCCUAUCUCUUCUCAGUCUCUUCGAGGCUAAACAUAUCCAGCUCCUUCAGCUGUUCCUCAUAAGGCCUUCUUGACCUUCCCAUGUUGAGUAGGACCCACUGCGCAAUUGGAAACCCUGAUAAAGUAGCAUCUCUAGUUGUGCAGAGGUGUUCAAAUGAAAAUGGACAGAACCCCCCUUCAGACCUUUGAUCAGGAAGGCUAAAGACGUGUGGGGAAGUGUGGGCAUGGUGUAUGCAGCCACAGGCCUCUUAGUUAUUAGUAGAUCUCUGUCCACACACAUUCUAAUACUGGUCUUGCCCCAUAUCGACUGCAAACAAUGCCUUCUGCAAUAUCUAAGUGAAAUUUCAAUGGCUUGGCUAAAGGAUGAGGGAGUACAGAUUGGCUUCUCUUCUUAGAAGCUUUGCAAUGUAUGUCUCCAUCUGUUUUGAUAAAAAAGGUAGUAAAACAAGUUCCAUCUUGAUGCUUUCAGAUCUCUCAAUUGUGCAUAAAGUAAUUGAUUUUAGAACUUGGGCUCCCUUAUGUUUGGUACAAAAAAUGAGGCCAAUUUUCUAAGACGUCUAGGAGGUGUAUGGUAUUUAGAAGUAUCAGAUGAAUAGCUUUGCCAGGCUCCUUUAUUUAAAGAGCUAUAAUUAUAUAGGAGCAGAAAUUUUGAUUUGAAAGCAGCUCAAAAUGAUGAUUAACCUCAAAAAGCAUAACACAGUUGCUACCUUGGCGAAAGCCUGGAGGCUGGUCAAAAUGUUAUUACUGUUUUCUUCUGUUAUUUGGUCUUCUUCCCAGAACUACAUAGGACAGUUUUUAUGUUGGCACAUUCUGUUUCCGUGUUGUUCCAUCAUACUUUCCCCCCUAUACUUUCUGUGAAUUAGUAACUAAAUACUAUUGAUGGUGGGUUGUUUGGAGGUUGUUGUUUUUUGCUCCUGGUGAGUUUGCAAAUUAUUUUGUGUUCCUUAAUCAGUAUUAAUCUCCAGUUAAUCAGAAAUGGAGAUAGUAUUGAUCAUGCUAGCAUACCCCAGGAAAUCUAACCCAUUUUGAAACAUAAAGUUAACCACGUCAGCUUUACCGUUGGCAUCAGAGUGCCGCAGGAAAGAGCUGGGAACCUGGGCUGCAUUGCCAACUGCCAGGGAUCAGAAGAGAUUGGCACAAAUACCAACAUAGCCCUUAUUUUAUGUUGUACAUUUGUGUGUAGAUUAAUUGUAAGCUGCAUAUUGGGAGCCAACGUCAGCUGAAGUGUGGGGGUGGCAUAAAUAUAAGCCACAUCAUUUUGAGGGGAACAGGAUACAGGGAGGCAGGAAAAACAGGCAAGCUGAAGGCCACCUUGCCCAUGCUGAUUAAUCCUUCUGAUGGGAAAAGGGGUGCAGUCAGGGUGGCUCUCUGUAGAGCUCCUCUGCUCAUGCUGGGUGCCUUCUGGAUCAAGCUGAGGAGGUGUGGCGAUAUCUGCUCCAUGGAUUCCGGUUUGGCGUUUGGCAACGCCACUGCAAGCUCCUCUUCCAAAGCUGCAUGCUUCCCAGCUAAGCGAUGGGGUAGCGGAGGCAUUGAUUGUUUCCUCGUAGCCACCUGUAAAGAAUCUCUAAGGGCCCCUCCAGACUCUGUUCUGCAACGUGACAUUGAUCCAAUAAUAGUUCCUUAGUGGUGGAUUUACAUUGCUUUAUUCUAUUUUUUUUAUUACUGCAUUUGUAUCAUACCCUUUUAUCCAAGGAGCUCAUUUAAUUCCCUCUUCCUCAUUUAAUUCCCACAAAAGCCCUGUGGGGUCAUUUUGGAUGAAAGGCAGUGGGUGGCCCAAGGUCACCCAGUUGCUUUGCAAUGCUUACUCAAUGUCACCACGUUAUUAGUAUAGGAUAUAUCUAAUCUCAUAUACAAAAAAUACUUAACUCUAACUAACGCAUGAAGGGGUUAAGACCAUAGAGUAAGCUGUCCUGCCUGGCUUAGCUAGAUCAUACCCCCUCACCUUGGGAGGAAGAGCUAGCAAACCCUUUGUUCUCCCGCUUUCCACUAUUCUUUUUCACCAUGUGACACCUACCAGUAAGGCUAUUGAAGCUGGAUGCUCCAAGCCACCUUUCUGUUUCUAUACAUAUAAUUUAGAAGCAUUUACCAUUUACCAACAUUUUGAAACUAAAUUGUACUGCUUGUCUUUUCUUUCUGCUGUAUGGAAAAGUACAUGAAUCAACUCUUUGCAGAGUUUGUAAGUAAAACAUUUUUAACUUGUCAAACAUGUGGUCUCUUUCUAUGCUAAGGGAAGUGGGAGCUUUGGAAGCAACAUAGAAGGGAAUAUUUUAAAGGUCUAACAGCCUAUGAUUCUACGCUUUAUUUUGCUAUUUUAAAUAUCUGCUGGGGCUCUCUCACCAAAAAAUACUUGCCCCAAAUUUGGAUCUAGGCACCCAGGACAUUCUCCUUUUAUUGUAUCAAAUAUUUCCCUUUAACCAAAAUAUUAAAAACCAACAAUUGCUAUCUGGAGGGGGGCACUAUUGUGCUAUAGUGCAACAAGCGUGAGACAAAAACAAACUCUUAACACUUGCAAAAUACGGGAUUUCAGCAGGAAGCUACAGGAUACAAAACUCAUUGGAAAUGAAGCAGUAUAUCCACCAUGAAACUUGCAGGAGCAAAGAGUGUUGAAAGUGGGAUCACGUAUAACUGCAUAUAACUGCCCCAAUACCAUCAUGAGCACAAAUCAUCAUAAAUACACAAUAAACAGAAUGUCUGGAGGGGCCCAGACAGGAGCAAAAAGAAAGGGUAAAAAAGGGGGGUCCUCUUUAGUUUGACUUCUUUCUGUGCCACCACAAUUCUCCACCCAUAGGACCUCAGUACUAUUCAAAAUGUAAGCACAUUUCUUCAGAAAAGAACAGCGGCUGUAAUCAGGAUACUGCAAACUUCUGCACUGUUCUGAGACCUUGUGAAAACAUUUUAGAAGUGUUUCUCUCCUGCCAGCGGCAAAACAUGUUUACUGCCUUACAUAACCCUUUGACAAAAUAGGGUUUUUUUACUUGUGUGAACCGGACCAUAGCAUUUGUGAUGAUGAAGUUCAGAAAGCUAAUGAGAAACGAGGCUUAAUUGCGAUGUGGGUUUGUCAUCAUCUUGUGGCUAAGGGAGUGGGGGUGGAAUCUCUUAAUUCCUCCUAUCAUGUUCUGCAUAUAGGCUGACUAUUUUAGAGGGGAAUACAGAAAUUCCAGAGACCUGCAGCAAAAGAGUUGGCUGAUUAGUUUAAAUUAAUGUAUGAAAGCCAACCCACCUUCACUGCUGCUUCUCACUUCUUGACCUCUUAAGCGUUGCCAGGUAACAGAGCUGCAGUGACUGGAAGCCAGAGUUAAGCAGGCAAGUGCGGCAGCCAUGCCAGGGUCUGGACAAAUUCUGUAUCUAGCCAUCCUAGUUUUAUGGUUCACACUGUGCCCCUCCUGAUGCUUCAUUUAUAGCACUAUAGUUCUCUAUGUCCCAGGGUGGUCACACUUUUUCUGUCCACACCAGUGACUGGAUGCAUUCAGAUUGCAUUGUCUCCUUCCACCAACCAGUAAACGAUCAUGUUAUGAGCAUGCACACAUGUCACCGAUCACCCUUUUGUGUUUGGUAUAGAACUCCUGGUAUUCCAAAAUUCUGUUUGUGGGAGAUUUGGUGGCAGGAACUACUCGUGUUCACUGUGUCGGUGUGAGCUGUCCACACAUUUGAGAGACUGCAGUGGCAGGCUUCUGUCAAGAGACGCAUAGAAAUGCCAUGAAACCGAAGUCACUUAACAUUCCCCACCCCCACCACACACAAAAGUGGGAAAGUGUGCAAAACUUUGCACACCAUGAAAAUACUGCGGAACUGUAUUUCAGAAAUGUUGGGAUUUGUGUGAUAGAAAAAAAAAGUGAAUUGAAGGCAAUAUUGUAGAAUAGCAAUGGAAUGAUAGCUUGUAUUGCUAGAAGAUGCAGAUGAUCAACAGUGGAUUCUCCUGCAAUAGCACUGGUAUAUAUCAUCUGAGGCAUCUAGAUAUUACAGGUAAUACAGGGCCAGACAGGUCACUUGCCUCAUACAGAACAAUAGUGCAAUGUUCUUAAAACUAAAUAGAAGACAAAGAGAUUUAGCAACUCAACCCAUUUCACAGUGUUUUUCUGACACUGCAGUGAUUUUUAAAUAAGUAGCC
rnacentral:lncRNA from 1 species